UUCAGACAAACUCCGAAUGCCAAUUAAUUUAACUUGGGAGUCAGAACAUGGGUGAUAAGGUCCGUGUUCGAAAGGGAAACAGCCCAGACCACCAGCUAAGGUCCCAAAAUAUAUGUUAAGUGGAAAAGGAUGUGGCGUUGCCCAGACAACUAGGAUGUUGGCUUAGAAGCAGCCAUCAUUUAAAGAGUGCGUAAUAGCUCACUAGUCGAGUGACACUGCGCCGAAAAUGUACCGGGGCUAAACAUAUUACCGAAGCUGUGGAUUGUCCUUUGGACAAUGGUAGGAGAGCGUUCUAAGGGCGUUGAAGCAUGAUCGUAAGGACAUGUGGAGCGCUUAGAAGUGAGAAUGCCGGUGUGAGUAGCGAAAGACGGGUGAGAAUCCCGUCCACCGAUUGACUAAGGUUUCCAGAGGAAGGCUCGUCCGCUCUGGGUUAGUCGGGUCCUAAGCUGAGGCCGACAGGCGUAGGCGAUGGAUAACAGGUUGAUAUUCCUGUACCACCUAUAAUCGUUUUAAUCGAUGGGGGGACGCAGUAGGAUAGGCGAAGCGUGCGAUUGGAUUGCACGUCUAAGCAGUAAGGCUGAGUAUUAGGCAAAUCCGGUACUCGUUAAGGCUGAGCUGUGAUGGGGAGAAGACAUUGAGUCUUCGAGUCGUUGAUUUCACACUGCCGAGAAAAGCCUCUAGAUAGAAAAUAGGUGCCCGUACCGCAAACCGACACAGGUAGUCAAGAUGAGAAUUCUAAGGUGAGCGAGCGAACUCUCGUUAAGGAACUCGGCAAAAUGACCCCGUAACUUCGGGAGAAGGGGUGCUCUUUAGGGUUAACGCCCAGAAGAGCCGCAGUGAAUAGGCCCAAGCGACUGUUUAUCAAAAACACAGGUCUCUGCUAAACCGUAAGGUGAUGUAUAGGGGCUGACGCCUGCCCGGUGCUGGAAGGUUAAGAGGAGUGGUUAGCUUCUGCGAAGCUACGAAUCGAAGCCCCAGUAAACGGCGGCCGUAACUAUAACGGUCCUAAGGUAGCGAAAUUCCUUGUCGGGUAAGUUCCGACCCGCACGAAAGGCGUAACGAUUUGGGCACUGUCUCAACGAGAGACUCGGUGAAAUCAUAGUACCUGUGAAGAUGCAGGUUACCCGCGACAGGACGGAAAGACCCCGUGGAGCUUUACUGUAGCCUGAUAUUGAAAUUCGGCACAGCUUGUACAGGAUAGGUAGGAGCCUUUGAAACGUGAGCGCUAGCUUACGUGGAGGCGCUGGUGGGAUACUACCCUAGCUGUGUUGGCUUUCUAACCCGCACCACUUAUCGUGGUGGGAGACAGUGUCAGGCGGGCAGUUUGACUGGGGCGGUCGCCUCCUAAAAGGUAACGGAGGCGCUCAAAGGUUCCCUCAGAAUGGUUGGAAAUCAUUCAUAGAGUGUAAAGGCAUAAGGGAGCUUGACUGCGAGACCUACAAGUCGAGCAGGGUCGAAAGACGGACUUAGUGAUCCGGUGGUUCCGCAUGGAAGGGCCAUCGCUCAACGGAUAAAAGCUACCCCGGGGAUAACAGGCUUAUCUCCCCCAAGAGUUCACAUCGACGGGGAGGUUUGGCACCUCGAUGUCGGCUCAUCGCAUCCUGGGGCUGUAGUCGGUCCCAAGGGUUGGGCUGUUCGCCCAUUAAAGCGGUACGCGAGCUGGGUUCAGAACGUCGUGAGACAGUUCGGUCCCUAUCCGUCGUGGGCGUAGGAAAUUUGAGAGGAGCUGUCCUUAGUACGAGAGGACCGGGAUGGACAUACCUCUGGUGUACCAGUUGUCGUGCCAACGGCAUAGCUGGGUAGCUAUGUGUGGACGGGAUAAGUGCUGAAAGCAUCUAAGCAUGAAGCCCCCCUCAAGAUGAGAUUUCCCAACUUCGGUUAUAAGAUCCCUCAAAGAUGAUGAGGUUAAUAGGUUCGAGGUGGAAGCAUGGUGACAUGUGGAGCUGACGAAUACUAAUCGAUCGAAGACUUAAUCAA
rnacentral:rRNA from 1 species